CAGACCUGAAAUCAGGCGAGGUUACCCGCUGAACUUAAGCAUAUUAUUAAGCGGAGGAGAAGAAAAUAACUAUGAUUCCCUUAGUAACGGCGAGUGAACCGGGAUCAGCUCAAAGUGGAAAUCAACUGCUCUUUCCGAGCUGUUGACUUGUAGCCUCGAGAGGCGUUACCAGUGGAAGCGCAGGGUUAAGUUUCUUGGGAAAGAACAUCAUAGAGGGUGAGAAUCCCGUCCUUCCCCUGCGUUUUUUGUUCCACGUACGGUACGCUUUUAUAGAGUCGCGUUCAUCGGGAUUUGAGCGCAAAAUGUGUGGUAGGUUUCACAUAAAGCUAAGUACUGGCGCGAGACCGAUAGCAAACAAGUACCGUGAGGGAAAGAUGAAAA
rnacentral:rRNA from 1 species